UGGGGAAUUUUGGACAAUGGGCGCAAGCCUGAUCCAGCAAUGCCGCGUGCAGGAUGAAGGCCUUCGGGUUGUAAACCGCUUUUGUCAGGGAAGAAACGAGUUUCUCUAAUACAGAGACUUAAUGACGGUACCUGAAGAAUAAGCACCGGCUAACUGCGUGCCAGCAGCCGCGGUAAUACGUAGGGUGCGAGCGUUAAUCGGAAUUACUGGGCGUAAAGCGUGCGCAGGCGGUUAUAUAAGACAGAUGUGAAAUCCCCGGGCUCAACCUGGGACCUGCAUUUGUGACUGUAUAGCUAGAGUACGGUAGAGGGGGAUGGAAUUCCGCGUGUAGCAGUGAAAUGCGUAGAUAUGCGGAGGAACACCGAUGGCGAAGGCAGCCUCCUGGGCCAGUACUGACGCUCAUGCACGAAAGCGUGGGGAGCAAACA
rnacentral:rRNA from 1 species